rnacentral:rRNA from 1 species
CACCGGCAGCUCUAGUGGUAGCAGUUUUUAUUGGGCCUAAAGCGUCCGUAGCCGGUUUAAUAAGUCUCUGGUGAAAUCCUGCAGCUUAACUGUGGGAAUUGCUGGAGAUACUAUUAGACUUGAGAUCGGGAGAGGUUAGAGGUACUCCCAGGGUAGAGGUGAAAUUCUGUAAUCCUGGGAGGACCGCCUGUUGCGAAGGCGUCUGACUGGAACGAUUCUGACGGUGAGGGACGAAAGCUAGGGGCGCGAACCGGAUUAGAUACCCGGGUAGUCCUAGCUGUAAACGAUGCGGACUUGGUGUUGGGGUGGCUUUGAGCUGUCCCAGUGCCGAAGGGAAGCUGUUAAGUCCGCCGCCUGGGAAGUACGGUCGCAAGACUGAAACUUAAAGGAAUUGGCGGGGAGCACCACAACGCGUGGAGCCUGCGGUUU